UACAGAGGUCCCGAGCGUUGUUCGGAUUCACUGGGCGUAAAGGGUGCGCAGGUGGUGAGGUAAGUCGGAUGUGAAAUCUCCGGGCUCAACCCGGAAACUGCAUUGGAAACUACCUUGCUUGAGGGUUUGAGGGGGGACUGGAAUUCUCGGUGUAGCAGUGAAAUGCGUAGAUAUCGAGAGGAACACCGGUGGCGAAGGCGAGUCCCUGGAAAACACCUGACGCUGAGGAGCGAAAGCUAGGGGAGCAAACGGG
rnacentral:rRNA from 1 species